rnacentral:rRNA from 1 species
UACAGAGGGGCAAGCGUUAUUCGGAAUUAUUGGGCGUAAAGGGCGCGUAGGCGGCCUGGCAAGUGGAAGGUGAAAUCCCUCGGCUUAACCGAGGAACUGCCCUCCAAACUGCUUGGCUUGAGUCCGGGAGAGGUGAGUGGAAUUCCCAGUGUAGCGGUGAAAUGCGUAGAUAUUGGGAGGAACACCAGUGGCGAAGGCGGCUCACUGGACCGGAACUGACGCUGAGGCGCGAAAGCGUGGGGAGCAAACGGGG